CCUACGGGAGGCAGCAGUGGGGAAUAUUGCACAAUGGGGGAAACCCUGAUCCAGCGACGCCGCGUGAGUGAAGAAGUAAUUCGUUAUGUAAAGCUCUAUCAGCAGGGAAGAAAAUGACGGUACCUGAGUAAGAAGCCCCGGCUAACUACGUGCCAGCAGCCGCGGUAAUACGUAGGGUGCAAGCGUUAUCCGGAUUUACUGGGUGUAAAGGGAGCGUAGACGGCAGUGCAAGUCUGGAGUGAAAGGCUGGGGCUCAACCCCCGGACUGCUGUGGAAACUGUACGGCUGGAGUGCAGGAGAGGUAAGUGGAAUUCCUAGUGUAGCGGUGAAAUGCGUAGAUAUUAGGAGGAACACCAGUGGCGAAGGCGGCUUACUGGACUGUAACUGACGUUGAGGCUCGAAAGCGUGGGGAGCAAACAGGAUUAGAUACCCUUGUAGUC
rnacentral:rRNA from 1 species